rnacentral:misc_RNA from 1 species
GGCCAAAAAAACCAAAGCGCUCAUAUAUUAAAAUUAGGGUCGGAUACAUGUACUAAUAAAUUAAAAAGAGGGUGUAUACAUUAAUGGAGGGCCAGAAUACAUUAAUGGCCAAAAAAUCAAAACGCCGAUACAUUGAAAAGAGAGUCCGAUACAUGCGCUGAUACAAUAAAAAAAAAGAUCGGAUACAUUAAUGAUAUUUUUUACUCAAGAGAAAAAUGAGUGAUUUUGGAGAUCUGUAAAACUUUUAGGAAAUAUUAGUAAUAAGUAAACUAAAAGGUGAAAAUUCUGUAAUUAAAUCAAAACUGAAUAAUUAGACAUACUUUACUAUCAUAUAUGCUGGCUAUUAAUACUUGCAUUUUCAAAAUAUUACGUAUUUUACAAUAACUAAUUAAGAGUUUCUUACAUAUGUUACACUUAGAUGCAUGUAUCUUUGCUACUAGAUACAACAAAUUAGGGACAGAGGCGAG